UUCAAGAGUUUGAUCCUGGCUCAGGAUGAACGCUGGCGGCGUGCCUAAUACAUGCAAGUCGAGCGAACAGAUAAGGAGCUUGCUCCUUUGACGUUAGCGGCGGACGGGUGAGUAACACGUGGGUAACCUACCUAUAAGACUGGAAUAACUCCGGGAAACCGGGGCUAAUGCCGGAUAACAUUUAGAACCGCAUGGUUCUAAAGUGAAAGAUGGUUUUGCUAUCACUUAUAGAUGGACCCGCGCCGUAUUAGCUAGUUGGUAAGGUAAUGGCUUACCAAGGCAACGAUACGUAGCCGACCUGAGAGGGUGAUCGGCCACACUGGAACUGAGACACGGUCCAGACUCCUACGGGAGGCAGCAGUAGGGAAUCUUCCGCAAUGGGCGAAAGCCUGACGGAGCAACGCCGCGUGAGUGAUGAAGGGUUUCGGCUCGUAAAACUCUGUUAUUAGGGAAGAACAAACGUGUAAGUAACUGUGCACGUCUUGACGGUACCUAAUCAGAAAGCCACGGCUAACUACGUGCCAGCAGCCGCGGUAAUACGUAGGUGGCAAGCGUUAUCCGGAAUUAUUGGGCGUAAAGCGCGCGUAGGCGGUUUCUUAAGUCUGAUGUGAAAGCCCACGGCUCAACCGUGGAGGGUCAUUGGAAACUGGGAGACUUGAGUGCAGAAGAGGAAAGUGGAACUCCAUGUGUAGCGGUGAAAUG
rnacentral:rRNA from 1 species